URAGAAACCCGAAAGAUCGAAUGAGGAGAUUCAACGUCAGUGUGAUUGGCUAUCAUGUGGUUAUGCGAUGAGUASAGUUGUCUUUAUUCACGCUGCUGCUGUGGUUGUGUCCARUUACRUCGGCGUGCACUUCUCCUCUAGUAGAACGUCGCGACCCGCUGAGUGUUGUUUUAAGGRUCAAGCUGUCGACUGUACCRUCGCUUCGGCGUUAUGUGUGCAGACACUUGAAUUCCCAAUCAACUGCUCGGCGGUAUGUAUUAAUGGUAUCGAGCCGCACUUGAAUGCGUUCAGACUUGUCACAAGCUUGAUCAAAUAACUGGAAURCGGACYUAGUGCCGUAUCUGGAAGUGAUUGGCUGUUGGUYGAUAAUGUUCUCGAACAGGCUUAAUAUGCAAUUCAGCGAUACCGGUCAGCGAYGYUAUUGCUUUGGGUACUUUCAGGACCCGUCUUGAAACACGGACCAAGGAGUCUAACAUGUACGCGAGUCAUUGGGAAUGUUAAAACCUAAAGGCGUAUUGAAAGAAAAGAUCGGUCUUGUGCCGAUUAAGGGAUGAUARGCUUMCAUUAUUUUAAUGGAGCUUCGCACUCCCGGGGCGUCUCUUAAAGUCAUUGCGACUUGAGGUGCACCUAGAGCGUACACGUUGGGACCCGAAAGAUGGUGAACUAUGCCUGGUCAGGAUGAAGUCAGGGGAAACCCUGAUGGAGGUCCGUAGCGUAUCUGACGUGCAAAUCGAUCGUCGGAACUGGGUA
rnacentral:rRNA from 1 species